UCAUUCCCAGGACCUGUCAUGUGUCAUGAUCCUUGCUUAGAAACUAGAGACAGCAGCCAUUGCGGAGGAGAGGUUAAGUUUGUUCUCUGUCAAGUCAAAGAGCAAGCCCUGUAGGAGCUCAGUGAAGUCAGUGAGAGUGUUUCCUAUCAGAUUCAAUUUCCUGAGAGUCCAUCUGUUACAUCUCAGAGGAGAACAUAAGAGGUGGUUUGGAUAUGUUCAUCCUGGAAGAAACACUGUUCUUACUGAACGAAAAAUGAGAAUUGAGUAGAACAAAUUCACACUUGGAUUACAUGAGUUUUAUCCACAAGGAC